rnacentral:rRNA from 1 species
AGAAUGAACGCUGGCGGCGUGCCUAACACAUGCAAGUCGUGCGCGAAAGGGACUUCGGUCCCCGGUAGAGCGGCGAACGGGUGAGUAACACGUGGGUAACCUGUCUGAGAGUGGGGGAUAACCUGGGGAAACUCGGGCUAAUACCGCAUACGUCCGCUGGGCUUCGGCUCGGCGAGGAAAGGUGGCCUCUGCUUGCAAGCCACCACUCCCAGAGGGGCCCGCGCCUGAUUAGCUAGUUGGCGGGUAACGGCCCACCAAGGCGACGAUCAGUAGCCGGCCUGAGAGGGCGAUCGGCCACACUGGAACUGAGACACGGUCCAGACUCCUACGGGAGGCAGCAGUGAGGAAUCUUGCGCAAUGGGGGAAACCCUGACGCAGCAACGCCGCGUGGAGGAUGAAGGCUUUCGGGCGUAAACUCCUGUCAGAUGGGACGAAGGCUUGCGGCAAAUAGUCCGUAAGCUUGACGGUACCAUCAGAGAAGCCCCGGCUAACUCUAGUGCCAGCCA